GAUGAAGAACGAAGUGAAAUGCGAUAAGUAAUGUGAAUUGCAGAAUUCAGUGAAUCAUGGAAUCUUUGAACGCACAUUGCGCCCCCUGGUAUUCCGGGGGGCAUGCCUGUCCGAGCGUCAUUACAACCCUCAAGCUCAGCUUGGUGUUGGGCCCCGCCGCCCCGGCGGGCCCUAAAGUCAGUGGCGGUGCCGUCCGGCUCCGAGCGUAGUAAUUCUUCUCGCUCUGGAGGUCCGGUCGUGUGCUCGCCAGCAACCCCCAAUUUUUUUCAGGUUGACCUCGGAUCAGGUAGGGAUACCCGCUGAACUUAAGCAUAUCAAUAAGCGGAGGA
rnacentral:misc_RNA from 1 species